rnacentral:rRNA from 1 species
UGGCACCUUGAUGUCGGCUCAUCACAUCCUGGGGCUGUAGCCGGUCCCAAGGGUUUGGCUGUUCGCCAAUUAAAGUGGUACGUGAGCUGGGUUUAGAACGUCGUGAGACAGUUCGGUCCCUAUCUGCCGUGGGUGUAGGAAUAUUGACAGGAUCUGUCCCUAGUACGAGAGGACCGGGAUGGACAUAUCUCUGGUGGACCUGUUGUGGCGCCAGCCGCAUAGCAGGGUAGCUAUAUAUGGAAUGGAUAACCGCUGAAGGCAUCUAAGCGGGAAACCCCCCUCAAAACCAGGUCUCGCCUGAGAGCCGUAGUAGACCACUACGUCGAUAGGCCGGGUGUGGAAGCGCAGUAAUGCG